UUUGUAUAAUGGGUCAGCGACUUAUAUUCAGUGGCAAGGUUAACCAUCUAGGGGAGCCGUAGGGAAACCGAGUCUUAACUGGGCGUUCAGUCUCUGGAUAUAGACCCGAAACCAGGUGAUCUAGCCAUGGGCAGGUUGAAGGUUGAGUAACAUCAACUGGAGGACCGAACCGACUAAUGUUGAAAAAUUAGCGGAUGACUUGUGGCUAGGGGUGAAAGGCCAAUCAAACCUGGAGAUAGCUGGUUCUCCCCGAAAGCUAUUUAGGUAGCGCCUCGGACGAAUACUACUGGGGGUAGAGCACUGUUAAGGCUAGGGGGUCAUCCCGACUUACCAACCCUUUGCAAACUCCGAAUACCAGUAAGUACUAUCCGGGAGACACACGGCGGGUGCUAACGUCCGUCGUGGAGAGGGAAACAACCCAGACCGCCAGCUAAGGUCCCAAAUUACUACUAAGUGGGAAACGAUGUGGGAAGGCUCAGACAGCCAGGAUGUUGGCUUAGAAGCAGCCAUCAUUUAAAGAAAGCGUAAUAGCUCACUGGUCGAGUCGGCCUGCGCGGAAGAUGUAACGGGGCUAAGUAGUAAACCGAAGCUGCGGCAAUAUACUUUUGUAUAUUGGGUAGGGGAGCGUUCUGUAAGCGGUUGAAGGUGUGUGGUAACGCAUGCUGGACGUAUCAGAAGUGCGAAUGCUGACAUGAGUAACGAUAAAGGGGGUGAAAAACCUCCUCGCCGGAAGACCAAGGGUUCCUGUCCAACGUUAAUCGGGGCAGGGUAAGUCGACCCCUAAGGCGAGGCCGAAAGGCGUAGUCGAUGGGAAACGGGUUAAUAUUCCCGUACUUCUUACAAUUGCGAUGGGGGGACGGAGAAGGCUAGGUGGGCCUGGCGACGGUUGUCCAGGUUCAAGUGCGUAGGCUUAAGAGUUAGGUAAAUCCGGCUCUUUUUAAGGCUGAGACACGACGUCGAGCACCUACGGGUGUGAAGUCAUUGAUGCCAUGCUUCCAGGAAAAGCCUCUAAGCUUCAGAUUGUAAGGAAUCGUACCCCAAACCGACACAGGUGGUCGGGUAGAGAAUACCAAGGCGCUUGAGAGAACUCGGGUGAAGGAACUAGGCAAAAUGGUACCGUAACUUCGGGAGAAGGUACGCUCUUGAUGGUGAAGUCCCUCGCGGAUGGAGCUGACGAGAGUCGCAGAUACCAGGUGGCUGCAACUGUUUAUUAAAAACACAGCACUGUGCAAAAUCGUAAGAUGACGUAUACGGUGUGACGCCUGCCCGGUGCCGGAAGGUUAAUUGAUGGGGUUAGACUUCGGUCGAAGCUCUUGAUCGAAGCCCCGGUAAACGGCGGCCGUAACUAUAACGGUCCUAAGGUAGCGAAAUUCCUUGUCGGGUAAGUUCCGACCUGCACGAAUGGCGUAAUGAUGGCCACGCUGUCUCCACCCGAGACUCAGUGAAAUUGAAAUCGCUGUGAAGAUGCAGUGUACCCGCGGCUAGACGGAAAGACCCCGUGAACCUUUACUACAGCUUGGCACUGAACAUUGACCCUACAUGUGUAGGAUAGGUGGGAGGCUUUGAAGCACGUACGCCAGUAUGUGUGGAGCCGUCCUUGAAAUACCACCCUU
rnacentral:rRNA from 1 species